AAAAUAUCUGGGACACCAAACACUGAAUAUUUUUAUUAAGAUGGUACAUGGCCCAUAGGCAACAUGCCAAGAGAAGCCAACAAUAAAAUAAUCUUUUCCCAAUUACAAGAUUGAAUUGACAUUACACUACUUGGUUUAAUUGAAAGUCCAAUACAAUGAGGAGUGUUAUCUUCUUGGAUGUUAUUAUUGCAAUAGAUAAACAAAUUGUUAAGAACAAAGAAGUUUCAUGCAGCGUGAUUAAUGAGCUUGGAAUAAUUAACCUUGAUAUAAAGCAAAGUAUAAUUGCAGAAAUUCACUUUAUAUUAGCCAUACAGUAGAUAUGAGCAAAUUUUACAGAAUUGUCAUAUACAUCAAAUCCUAUGGUCUCAAUGCAAUUAAAUUAGACUACAUUAACAACAUGUUAAUAAAUAAAAUCUUCACCCAACUGGAGAUUGAAUGUUUUUAAAAACCUAUUUUCCAAUAACUCAUGUUAUAAACAAUGAAAUGACUUGAGAACUCAUCUUAAAAAAAUUUCAGCAUACAAAUGUUUGGAUAAGAAGGAACAGUUAGAACUCACAAGGUUGUAUAUGGAAACAAGAUGUAAAGAAAACUCUGCUGCCAUGGAACCCA
rnacentral:lncRNA from 10 species